GCGUCUGUGGUCUAAUGGCUAUGACUCCGGCCUUCCAAGCCGGGUGUCCGGGUUCGAAUCCCGGCGGACGCA
rnacentral:tRNA from 2 species